rnacentral:rRNA from 1 species
GACGAACGCUGGCGGCGUGCUUAACACAUGCCAGUCGAACGGAAAGGCCUGCUUUCCCUUGUGGAUUGCGGGUACUCGAGUGGCGAACGGGUGAGUAACACGUGAGUGAUCUGCCCCCAACUUGGGUAUAAGCCUGGGAAACUGGGUCUAAUUCCCGAUAGGACUGCAGGGUGGUGCCUGUGGUGGAAAACGAUUUUCUAGUGGUUGGGGAUGAGCUCGCGGCCUAUCAGCUUGUUGGUGGGGUAAUGGCCUACCAAGGCGGCGACGGGUAGCCGGCCUGAGAGGGUGGACGGCAACAUUGGGACUGAGAUACGGCCCAGACUCCUACGGGAGGAAGCAGUGGGGAAUAUUGCACAAUGGGCGGAAGCCUGAUGCAGCGACGCCGCGUGGGGGAUGACGGCCUUCGGGUUGUAAACUCCUUUCGACCGCGAGGAAGCCACCUGGUUGGAAGGGUGGUGACGGUAGUGGUAGAAGAAGCACCGGCUAACUACGUG